CCCAAGGUAGGCAGCUUCCCGCUCCUCGUCUUGGGACCUAAACCCAGGAAGUCAAAUGUCCUUUUCUAGCAGGUCGCCUGGUUAGAGGCCGUGGACGAAGCGGUCCAGGCACAGCCAGCUGCAGGGCGCGGCCUCGGCGGCGCUGCUCGUGGCCCUGGUCAGUGAGCGCACUCACUCCUGGACUAAGCUCUAUGCAACUCAUUUUCAUCUAGCAUUACCUCUCCAAAACCUGAAUCUCCACAAGAAAGCCACACAGCAAUUAACCAGUGUUGCAAGAACUGCUUCUGUAAUAAAGGUGGGAAGACAAAUUGAUGCAACCCUCUUGAAAAGCAAUCUGGCAAUAUGAACCAAGAGCCAUGAAAAGGCUUAUGCUAUUAUAAUUAAAUGGCUGUAAUGUUGGCUGUAAAUAUGAAAUUUUCUUUCACACACCAAUGUUUUCAAGAAUGGCAUAUUCACAUGCAGUAUGUGAUGAAAGAAGCAGUAAAGGAUGCUAACAAAGCUAUUUCUUUGGACAAUCUGAACCUGACGGAGUCUUACUCUGUCGCCCAGGCAGGAGUGCAAUGGCACAAUCUUGGCUCACCACAACCUCCGCCUCCUGGGUUCAAGUGACUCUCCUGCCUGGCCAUAGAAGCAAACACAAACAUAGAGGAAUUGGCUUUGGGCAGAUGGAAGGACCUCAGAGAAAAGAAACAAAGGAAAGAAAACUGGAUGGAUAAAGUAAAGAUCUUGCCAGCUGGUGCCUGGGUGCAUAGACUGCCUAUGGCUCUUGAAUUGCAUGCUGAAAACUUCAUAAUGAAACCAGAAAAUCACAGAAGCAUAAACACAGCUGCUUAUGCCUAUAAAUUAUUGCUGGUGAAAAGGAUGUUUAAGCAGAGUGAGAGACUCUCAGCAAAAAAAGGUAACUGAAAGAGUGGUAAGUCAGACAAAGAAGAAAAAUGCCAAAGAAGAGGGUCAAGAACAACUCAUAUGACUCCGAAAUCCCUUACCCACAUUGGAGUUAUAAAAAGUUCAGGAGCUGGAGACAAAAGGCAGGUUCAUAAAGAGGAUUCCUUG
rnacentral:lncRNA from 1 species